rnacentral:rRNA from 1 species
UACGUAGGGGGCAAGCGUUGUCCGGAAUCAUUGGGCGUAAAGAGCGUGUAGGCGGCCCGGUAAGUCCGCUGUGAAAGUCGGGGGCUCAACCCUCGAAUGCCGGUGGAUACUGUCGGGCUAGAGUCCGGAAGAGGAGAGUGGAAUUCCUGGUGUAGCGGUGAAAUGCGCAGAUAUCAGGAAGAACACCCGUGGCGAAGGCGGCUCUCUGGGACGGUACUGACGCUGAGACGCGAAAGCGUGGGGAGCGAACAGG